rnacentral:rRNA from 1 species
AUUGAACGCCGGCGGCAGGCUUAACACAUGCAAGUCGAGCGGAGAUGAGGUGCUUGCACCUUAUCUUAGCGGCGGACGGGUGAGUAAUGCUUAGGAAUCUGCCUAUUAGUGGGGGACAACAUUCCGAAAGGAAUGCUAAUACCGCAUACGUCCUACGGGAGAAAGCAGGGGAUCUUCGGACCUUGCGCUAAUAGAUGAGCCUAAGCCGGAUUAGCUAGUUGGUGGGGUAAAGGCCUACCAAGGCGACGAUCUGUAGCGGGUCUGAGAGGAUGGUCGGCCACACUGGGACUGAGACACGGCCCAGACUCCUACGGGAGGAAGCAGUGGGGAAUAUUGGACAAUGGGGGGAACCCUGAUCCAGCCGUGCCGCGUGUGUGAAGAAGGCCUUAUGGUUGUAAAGCACUUUAAGCGAGGAGGAGGCUACUGAGACUAAUACUCUUGGAUAGUGGACGUUACUCGCAGAAUAAGCACCGGCUAACUCUGUGCCAGCCGCCGCCGUAA